rnacentral:tRNA from 1 species
GGGCUUAUAGUUUAAUUGGUUGAAACGUACCGCUCAUAACGGUGUUAUUGUAGGUUCGAGCCCUACUAAGCCUACCA